rnacentral:rRNA from 1 species
UCCUCACUCUGGCGGCGUGCUUAACACAUGCAAGUCGAACGGAAAGGCCCUGCUUUUGUGGGGUGCUCGAGUGGCGAACGGGUGAGUAACACGUGAGUAACCUGCCCUUGACUUUGGGAUAACUUCAGGAAACUGGGGCUAAUACCGGAUAGGAGCUCCUGCUGCAUGGUGGGGGUUGGAAAGUUUCGGCGGUUGGGGAUGGACUCGCGGCUUAUCAGCUUGUUGGUGGGGUAGUGGCUUACCAAGGCUUUGACGGGUAGCCGGCCUGAGAGGGUGACCGGCCACAUUGGGACUGAGAUACGGCCCAGACUCCUACGGGAGGCAGCAGUGGGGAAUAUUGCACAAUGGGCGGAAGCCUGAUGCAGCAACGCCGCGUGCGGGAUGACGGCCUUCGGGUUGUAAACCGCUUUCGCCUGUGACGAAGCGUGAGUGACGGUAAUGGGUAAAGAAGCACCGGCUAACUACGUG